GCAACGCGACUUUGAAUUCUUUCGAAUCCCUCCAAUUCAUAUGCUUUAGUAUUCAAUUUCAUAGAUUUCGCCGCGACUUCGUCUCUUGGUUCGCCACGAAAUAAUCCUCUCAGGAAUAUUUCUACCGGCUGGUAGCCGUAGUCGGCGUCGUCGUUAUCGCGGUACGGUAACGAUCGUUGGCGUUAAAGUUGCUAGAACGAAAAGGAUAGAGCGAGAGCGAGACAGAACGCUAGAGAUGGAAAGCGAAAGAUGUAUAUAUAGAGAGAGAGAGGGAGGGAGAGAGAAACAGCAGCGAGUCGAGAGUAAGUACGGUCGGUGUAAGUUGAUCGCGUUUGAGGGAAAGAGACAGCUAUAUGCAAUCCAAGAGAAACGGUAUACGAAGGCAAAAGGGAGAGGGAGAAUAGCGCUAACCGUGGCAGAACGAGAAGAGAAAGGGCGCUUUCCUCUCUCGCGUAUAGGUGUGUCUACCAGAGACCUCUUCCGCGAGGGAAUGUUAAUUAAUUAGCGUUGCGGCAUUGAUCACGCCGUUACUUUGCACCGGUGCGCCCUACGCCGACGCCGGCAGCAUCGUUCUCGUCGUCGACACCGGUGCCGCCUUCAUUACCCGAGAGGCAGUGCGGUAAUGGCAGACUAUUCGCCACUACUCUGCGACUCCUCGUCGCAAAACCACUCGUCUUCGAGGACUCUGCUUCCUCUUAUCCCCACUCUUCAUUCUCGUUUCGCUCGUUUCUCGUUGUGCACACCGUGUCGCUUCUAUCGACGUAACUGGUGCGCGCGUACACGUGGUCGUUUGCACCUGUGGUGUAAAACUUGGUGGAUUUUGGGGAACGAGAGCUUGUUAAAAACAGAGAAACUCAAUUGUUGACACUGGAGAUUGAGUGGAUUCUCGGUAUUUCGUGAAAAUCUACAUCUUGUUUUAAGAGCUUCGAUAUAUGGUGUGUAUUGUACGUUUGAGGUUAGGUUAGAUUGAAUUACUUCGGAUUUGAAGAACAAUGGAAAAAAUGAAUAGGCGUGAUUCUAAACUCUCGGAGAUUCGAUUAAAUCUAUUCUACGAUGAAUUUUUCAACCAUCUGUGGAGGUCUGUGUGAAAUUAUGAUUAUCUUUUUCGUCGGGAGAAAGAAUCAGUUUGCUAAAAAUUUCAUGGCAUAUCGAUUAUCUAUACGGAGAAUAGAAUACGGAUUAGUUUUCCGAUUUUAUCCAUCCAGCCUCAGCUUUGCUGCUAUCGGAAAAGAUUUGAAUUUCGAAAUUUGGAAGUAUAAAAUUACAGCACGAUGAAUUAGUCAUGCUACUUUUUUACCGUCAAAAAAGAAUUCGAAACGAAUCUUUAUUGCGAAUCAUUCUUACUCGCUCGUUGAUUUGUUUCAUUUUUCAACACUUAACCUAAACUCGAACCGUCCAAAAUUUCGUGCUCGCGCAAAUAUCAAUCCUUCGCUUCGAACUGAACAUCAUCGAUUUAUGAAGAGAGGUAUACCUAUUUGGAAGAUUGAACGUGGAGCACUGUUACCUUCGAGAAGUAGGAGUUUCUCAACGACUUCACCUUGGCAAUAUCCAAAGCGAAGAGGAGUUAAGGUCAAGAGGGCAUCCUCGGCGGGAAAGAGAAUGAGAUAUUAGUCCUUCGAGUCCCUCGAAAUUACAAACGAGAAAAGGCCGCGUCUAGAAUAGGUCGGGCCGACCAGAAGAAUCGUUUUUUCCCGCGGAGAGAUUUGUGUCGGCCAAGAGUUUGGGACUCGAACCUGCCCACGUCUUAUCCUAUCCGCCUACGCGUAAAACACUCCCCUUCCGUAUCCUUGCACACCAAGCUAUCUACUCUUGGAUGGAGGCUGUUACAGGAGAGUCCUUCCUCAUCAGAGACAGGUCAACGUGGUAUCCAAGAGUGGUAAUACGUAUCUUAAGGAAAGUCAAUAGCUUCCAAGAUCACACUUUUUUCCAAACUUGAUAGAUUCGUUCUUGCAAGCUACGCGCUUUUAUGGCGUAGAAUAAAAAUUCAGAUCUCCUCGAAACUGAGUCUGUUUCUUUUAACGAAGGAAAUAUGUGAUUGAGAGUGAUGAUGAGAGAUUAAUAAAAUUGAAGAUGGUUUUGAUAAUCAGGAUAUGUAAUUAGAAAAUUGUUUAACGAAUUGAUCACGACUUGUAUAUCAUGACUCGAGUUAAGAGAUGGAUUAUUAAGGGAUGCAAGAUUGAAUCGAUGCCAAAAGUGAUAGAAAAGGUUACGUGGUUGAUUUGCAAUGUAGAACAUACGAUGUUUGCGAAACAGUUGCAGGUAAACCGUGAAUUUUUCAAAACGUCCAUGCUUCUUUCCAUACACAAAUACGAAAUUUACAUCGAAAUAGAGAAACUGGAAUAGAAUACGUAUCUUUUGUACAUCAUUGAAGCGAAACUUCAAAAUUUGAAUUCUACAUUUGAAAAUCUUGAAAAAAAAAAACACUCCUAAAAUAAACUUAUUCAUCUCGAAAUUUUGUCAAAAAUGUGAUAUAAAUUAGAAAAUUGUUUAACGAAAUAACAAUUUUUAACAAAUCAAAUUGAUUAUGACUGUAUGCAAGAUUGAAUCGACGCCAAAAGUGAUAAAAAAAUACAUCCAAUUUGAUAUA